ensembl:lncRNA
CUCACUUCAGGUUCAGUAUCAAUUUGGCGUCCCAGAUGGGACAAUGUCCCAGGUGGACGUCUUGCCUGUGGCACACUGGCCUCUGGCUACAGGCCUCUCUUAGAAGCUGUCCUACAGCUGCCUGAGCCCCUUGUCUCAGGGACAGCCCCAAGUGACUGGCUGCUGACCAGACGUCAUUGGCCCACAGCGCUUUUGCUUUGGUGGUGGAAGAAACUAGGUUUAUGACUUAGGAAGACGUCUCUUACUUGCAAACUGAAGCUGGAGGACUCAGUCUAAACCUAAGAGAGAUUCACGUCCACUGCUGUGUAAGCCUCUCAAGAAGUGACCUGAGUGACCGAUGGCACCAUCAGAAACCUUUCAAACUGCAAAAGAUGCUUCAACCCUGACUUUAGGAAUCUUGAUUUGCUGCCCCCUGGGCUUAGAAACUGGUUUAUAAUUUGCUCCAACCAUUAACCUUGUUUUUCUCUUUUUGUUUCUCUAAAAAAUACUUCUUAUUAAACACCUGGUUACUUACAUGAUACAGGCCUAACUUUGGGAGCCCACCAGCAUCACUGCCUUAUUAAAAGACUGGUUCAGUGAGAUGAAACAACCUAUGCCCCAUUUCAGCAGGAAGUAGAUGGAUCAGUUGCCACCCCAAAUCCCUCAAGAUGGACAUAAAAUAGGGGGAAUUGAUACUGACCCUCAUAUCAGUUUCCCUACAUUAAACCCAGCAUAUAUGGGGUUAAAACCAAAACACUCAUUCCCUGCUUACUCCCUGCCUUCCUGCCUCCCGAAUCUGAUAUCCUCCAUGGAGACAGACACCACCAAGGACAAGCACUUGGGUUCACUAUGUCCUCCCCGCAAAGAGAUACAGGCUGGUGGGAAAGCUGCUGACCAGCAAGGUCACAGGCUCCCUCCUCUCUGCAAGUAGUCUCAAGGCCAAAGACAGGCUGGUGGGAAAGCUCUGUCCAGCAAGGCCAUAUGCUCCCCUCCCCAACCUAAAACCUCAAAUAAAAACCCUUCCUUUUAGCUUUUUGGGGAAUUUGGGAUUUCAGUGUUAGCUGCCCUCUCUCCUUGCUCAGUGCUGUGCAAUAAUAAAAUUCCUACUUUCUUCCACCACUACAUCCUGUGUUGGAGAUUGGCUUGCUGCACAAAAGGUGAGUGAACUCACUUCAGGUUCGGUAUCAGUAUCUGUGGGCUUCCUAACACUGCACCCCAGAAUCAGAGACUCACCCUCCCAGGUGUCAGCAGUGAUAGACCAGGGCAGGCCUAUUUCAGAAGGGCCAGGCUGACGCUGCAACUUACCACAUGGUAGAGCGCAAAGGAAAGCACCUGUUCUCUGCAGGCUGACUGCUCCCAACAGGGACAGAGGAGGAGCUGUGCCACACAUAUCUGGUGCUUUCUCCCAAAGCCUAUAAUUAGGUAAGUCACUCUUUCCUCCCACAGGAGCCGGGAGUAAGUAAGUAUGGAGAGGCCAGUAGGAUUAUAUAGUCAUGCCCUCCACAUGCCUCCACCCAACCUCACCAAGGUCUAUGCCAUUUUUAUGUUAUUUUUCUGGGUUUCACAAGGACCAAUUAAAAAAAGACAUUGGCACAGUUGGCUUAUAACACAUAUCCAUUAAAGUCCCAUGUUUAUAAUCUCCCAAUACCAAUAUGAAGAUCAAAUAACUUCAGAGGUUUGUUUUUUUUUUUAAAUAUAAAAUUAAGUACAAUAAAUCCAGCAAGUUGCAACUAUAGAAAGUUAGCCAUUUUAUCAGACACCAUUUCUGGCUGGUUUAAACCAAAAAGGGAUUUAUUGAAAUGAUAUUGGGCAUCUUGGAGAAUUUCAGGGAAGGCUGAAAAAUUAGGAUUGGAAAAUGGGCAAAAAUAAAGGGAGGCUAACCAUAAUCAUGCCAGUCAGGAAGGGCUUGUUGCCCCUGUUGAACACAUGGAGGGCAGUGGCUUGAAUCACUGAUUCUGAACACCCUUUUGGCUUUUGCCCCUGGGAAAUGGAAGUUCAGUCACAGCAGCCACUGUCAGAAAGGACUGUCCACUUGUCUUGCUUCUUUGCAACAUUAGCUUCAGAUUUAAAGUCCCAGGUGGAGGCAGCUGACAGGUUGAAUGCAGGUCAUUUACGUUCUCUAACAGGUGAUCUGGGAAAGUGAUUAUCUGCUGUUCUCAUCUUCUGACUGUGGGAGAAAGACAUCAAGAAACAUUCAUGCAGAAGUCCCUAAAUAUAGGAAAGAGGUUCAUGUGCUAAGAAGUGAAGAAGAAAAACAUGACAAAUGUGCACUCCAACUAUUUUUGACAUGAGUGCAAAUAACCAAAUGUUUGCAUGGAUUAAAAUAGGUCAUGCCUGGGGGGCAGCCUGGUGGCAUAGUGGUUAAGUUCACGGAUCCACUUUGGAGGCCCAGAGUUUGUGGGCCCUGAUCCCAGGCACAGACCUAGCACUGCUCUUCAGCCCACACUGUGGUGGCAUCCCACAUAAAAUAGAGAAAGAUUGGCACGGAUGUUAGCUCAGGGCCAAUCUUCCUCACACACACACAACAAAAGGUCAUGCCUAAACCUACAAUUUUGUAUUCUGUACCCUUAUUACAACAAGAGAGAUGAGACACAAAGUUCUCCUUUUAAAUAAUUAAAGUCUACAAAACAAAAAGUUAGUGCAGCAAAAAAUGUUUAUCUUCAUUCCAAUUAGGAGAAUCAAGUAAGAAAUACCUAAACCAAGAAAGAUGAAAGUUCUCAUGUUCAUGAAAUCACAUAUUUACAUGACUUUUUAAAGUGUAAGUAUUCAGUAUGUGGGUACAGUGAUUUAGCAUCCUUUUCUCAGUUCAGAAACUGAGUUUCAAGCCAAUAUUCAAAAACAGCAACCAAACUUUCAUUUUUUUUCUUCUGGUCUUUUUCUCAAGCAUUCUGCUUCAGUAACAGUGUUGAUAAAUGUUCUGGGCAUAAUGCCCCUUAAUUAUUCUUUAUCUUAACAUUUGCUCCAAUCUGGGACUCUCAUUUUUGAGAGUAAGGUUAUAACGGAACAUAAACAAUUAGUAUUUUAAAACAAUUUUUGCAUAGUAGCAUUUCGUUCGCUAGGCUGGAAGCCAUGAGAGUUAGCUCCCUCUUCUUUUCCCACAUAAAGAAGGCAUUAAUGCUGCACGGGGCAUACCUUCACACACCAAAGAUAUUUUCAAAAAAGUGUCUUUUUUUAACUUGUUUGUGAACUGACAUUUCAUAUUAUUGACUACAUAUUUUAUUUGCGCUUUUCCAGGCAGCCAUAUUUGAAACUGGCAUUCUGAUUAUAACACGCGUCAUAAACUUGGUUGAUGUGAGUUUACUUCUGAGCCUUUUACUAAAAGCGGGCUUCGGAGCCCACCAGGCCAAGUGCCAAACCCUUGAGCAUGUUUAGUUCCUCAAAGAAAUGAGUACUGUCCUGUGUGGCCUCUCUGUAGAAGCUACCCACCAUCCGUCUCUUUCCAAUGUCUGACACCCACUCCAUCCCUAGACAAAACUGUGCUUCUUUUGGGUACAUAGAAUAGUGGAGAGAGCAUGAGUUUUGGCACAGAAAACAUGGAUUUGAAUCUCAACUUUGCCAUUUAUUGUGGGCAAAUUACUUAAACUCUCUGCAGCUCAAUUCUUCACUUAUAAAUUGAGAAUAAUAUCUACUUGUAGGUUGGUGGGUAGGAUAACAUACCUAGGAUGCCUAUUACAAUGCCUAGAAAACAGUAGACAUUCAAUAAAUGGUAACUAGUAUUAAAACAUUUUCAAGUAAUUAGCAGGAAACUCCUAGAAUCACAGACCAUGGAACUCACUUCUUUUGCCCAGGCGGGAACAGAGGAAAAACCCAGCAUGUGAGAAAAUUUCUAUGCUACUGACCAUAACUUCCACAUUUUCCCUCAUUCUCAUGGUCUAUUGUUACUUUUAAGAUAAGUGUCUCUUUUGUGGUUACAGUUAUGGUCCCCAUACUGCUACUCUUCUUUUUGCCUUAAAUAAAUUACCAUCAUCCCCACCCCUCUAUCUCCAAGUCUGGCUAACUCCUGUUAGUUCUUUAAAACUCGGCUCAGUCAUGCCUGCCUUUCAUCUGUUCUUCAAACAGGUGAAGUUAUUUCUGUCUCAGAACCUUUGUACUUGCUCUUCCUCUUUUUGCAACACCCAGAGCCCAUAUAGUUGGCUCCUUCUCAUUGAUUUCUCAGCUCAACUGUCACUAGAAAUGAAUGUUUUCCUAACCACCUCAUGUAUCGCCAUCCUCCUCCUAGCCAAUCAUAUUCUAACUGUUAAAAAACAAAAUCCAGCUGAGUAAAUUUGGAGAUCUAAUUGGCUUUAUUCAACAAGUCAUGAACUGGGUAGCAUCCCUUCUAGCAAAUAGGAAGGAACUCCAAGGAGCUGUACCAAAUGGAAGGCUUUUAUAGGCAGAAGGGGGUGGGAAAAAGGAAGUUUCUAGCAGAGUAGAUUAUUUUAGGCAAGGUCACCUUCCUUUGGGGUCUUUUGUGAUUUAUAACAAACCCCUUUCAACCACACCUGAGUUUAUGUUAACAAAGUGACUUUUGGAAAGCACUUAAGGAUAGAGGCUGGUUGCCAGGGGAACCAACCAUGUAAUUAGAAGGUUGGAACUUUAAGUCUCACCCGCCCCCUCCCCCUGCCAUGCCCCUAACCUCCAGGGAGGGAAGAGGGGCUGGAGAUUGAAUCCAAUUACCCAAUGGCCAGUGAUUCAAUCAACCAUGCCUAAGAAACGAAGGGUUUGGAGAACUUCCGGGUUGGUGAAGAAGAAGGUACCCAUAUGCUGGGAGGGUGGCAUACCCGAAACUCCACAAGAACUGAUGCUCCUGUACUUGAGACCCUUCUGGACCUUGCCCUAUGUAUCUCUUCAUCUGUUUGUUGGUUUAUAUCCUUUGCUAUCCUUUGUAAUAAGCCAGAAAUCUAGUAGGUAAACUGUUUCCCGGAGUUCUGUGAGCUGCUAUAGCAAAUUAAUUGAAGCUGAGGAGGGAGGGGGUCAUGGGAAUCUCCAAUUUACAGCUGGUGGGUCUGAAACAUCGGUAACAAACUAGACUUGUGAUGGUGUCUAAAGUGGGUUAGAUGGGGGGCAGUCUUGUCGGACUGGGCCCUUAACCUGUGGGAUCUGACACUAUUUCCAGGUAGAUGGUGUCAGAAUUAAAUUGUAGAACCCCCAGCCAGUGUUGAAGAAUUGCUUGCUGUGUAGAAAACUCACAUCUGGUGUCAGAAGUGGAGUAGUGUUGCAGUACAGUAUUGAGAGUAGAGGGGACACACAGGAAUGCGUUUUUUCCUUAGACUACCACACUAGACAGUAAGCUCUAUGAGGACAGUAACUUUGCCUGUCUUGUUCCUGACUGGCAACCUUGUAGGAUGGGAAUCUUGAGCAAGAAGGGAGCUCUUCUGAGAAAAAUGCCAACACUGAGGAAAUCAUUCCUGAAAGAUGGAGAGCACAAUAAUAGUAAAAGACAUCAACUGUCGUCUUGGAUCCAAUUAUCCUCGAAACAAAACAAACCUCCUGGAUUUUUCAUUAUGUGAACCAAUUGAUUAAGCUAGUUUGUGUUGGUUUCUGUUCUUUACAACCAACUGUAUUGACUAACACACCAAUAAAUGGAAUCUACAAAGCAAAUCAACCAGCAACCAAUUAGGGCUUAGAGAGAGUAUAUUGUCAUAAAACCCCAAGCCUGGCAGGAAGAGUCUUGUAAUUGUUAAACCUCCAUGCAGCCCCCAGGUACCCAUACCCACCCAUAGGAAGGAAGCUACUCAAGUGGACCAGCUCACAGCUGGGGAUUCCUCCACAUGGCAGACAUAGUUUCUGCCUCUCCUUCAGCCCUUUGCUUCAUCUUCCUUGUGAAGAGAAUCCAGAAUUUCUUUUAUGGAAGGCUCAAGCUAAUUAUGAUCAUUGUAUUUCCCCACAAUAAUUGACUUAGGAAUGGGCAUGUGGUGCAAUUCUGCCCAAUGACAUAUGAGAGGAAGUCCCUGGGGAGCUUCAGAAAAGUUGUCUUUGCUCUUCCAAAGUGAUUUAGAGAAGGAUGCCCUUUUGCCCUCUUCCAACCUUUGGAUAUUAUGUGAGGACAUGAUGCUUAGACCUGUUACAACCAUUUUGUGAGGUGAGGAAAUAAGCCUGAAGACAAAAGCUAAACAAAGCCAUGGGGGUGGUGGGGUAAAACCACAGCAAGGUCUAUAGGCGGCAGCCAUACAGUUCUUGCUCCUCCUGUACUAUGAGCACCUUUAUAUGGAGCCAUGGCAAGCACUGAGGUUCUCUUUAUUACUCUCUUAGUGUUAUGGUCUCCUAGGAUAGGGGUAUUCCCCCAUCUUCUUCCCAGGCACUGGAAAAAUGGACUACAGUCUACCCUUACCUUCAUGAGACCAUUCCAACAAGUUUCCUUUCAAAAAUCUACAGCCCAAAAAGCAGGCACCAAUUUCUAUGUUUACACGCUCACCUCCUCUCCCCUGGGGGAUGUAUGUAAAGCUCUUCUAAAAAUUCUCUCUCCACGCCCUACAGUGCUCCUAAGGCAGCAGAGGGCCCUGCAUUCAGCAAUCAGCCAGUGGGAGAGAGAAAUAUCAGUCUCCCCUUCCUGUCAACAACCCCAAACCUUGUUUUAACCUGGGGGGAACAGAGGAAGAACCACACUUCUCCACAGGGCAGGAACAAAUUGCCCUCUCCUUAGAAUACUGCACUCCUCCUGGGGCUGUUGCCUCUUGACCUCUCUUCCUAUCCUCACCAUCCCAUAUUCUUUCAGGUUGUGGAGGUAGAGCAGGUGGUAGUUGAUCAUAGAAAGGUUUUUCUUUCAACAAUUCAAAAGUCCUUUGAAGGAAUGUACCUGGCCCUAGUAUUGCUCUUAGAAUGUAAGGUAUCCAGUGCUUCUUUAUUUCUCAACUUUGAGCCUCAAUGUUCAUGCCCGCCUGUGGGCUCCAAAUGUAGGGUGACUCACUUGUAACCACAUUGCAUAAUUCGGCUGUGUCGGGGCUGGAUACCGUCCUAAUACAUUCGUUCCAUACACUACUGUGAGGCAAGUGAGGGCAGUAUGUGCUUUCGGUAGGUGGGCUCUACUGUGAGGUGUCCCCCAAGGACCUGGAAAUGAGAUCAUCUGCUGAGGAAUAAGCUGUAAAAAAUUGACAUAUAUUGGAGUAGAGAUAGAAAAAUUCACUUUCAAGAAACCAAAUGUCACUCAGGCAGUUAAGACUAGACUUUACCCUGAUUGAUUGUACUGAUUGAUUGUGACUUGUUUAGAGAAGUCACAGCUGGAAGUGGAGAUGGUUAGCCAUGGACUCUGAAAAAAGGGGAGUCACAGAUACAAACGCAAACAGUGUCCAACUAAGGACAGUCCACAGAAGAAGAGAGCGUAGCAGUGGAUUUCAAGUGUUCUAGUCUUACUAGCAAAGCCAGUCUUAAAGUGGCAUGAGUAAAGGCAAUCAGCAGCUUUAUGACCUUGGCAUAUCUCCACUCCGACUGGGAAGACUAUCUUAUUGAGAAAUGGAUAUGUUAUGUCAUCUUAACCCGAUAGCUUGAAAGAGCCGUGUUUCUAACUUUCCUCCCAAUUCCAUCUUUACCAAUCAGUGUUCCGAGGAUGACUUGGUUUCCCGUGUAGGUUAACCUGGAGGGUGAGUCACGUAGACUUUGAGGGUUGUGGCCCCUCUUGUACUACAAAUAGUAAACUGACAUUCUGAUCUUAUACAUCAUAAACUUGGUUAAUGUAGCGCACCCCUCAGAGAUGGACUGUUCUUAGCAAGCUGAUACAAGAAGUCUGCUGAGCCCACGAGCCAAGCAUCAGAACUGUUCUGUGAUAAGACUCCUCAGGGCAAUAGGUGCUAUCCUCUAAGGCCUCUCAGGAGAAGAAAACUACCCUCUCUUAUUUGACAUCUACCACCCCACCCCAGUCCACCUUAUCUUUGAGCACAACUGUGUUUUUAUAGAGAGAAACAGUGGAAGGAACAUGGGCUAUAACAUCAGAAGACCUGGGUUUGAAUCUCAGUUUUGCUUCUUUGUGAUUGACUAACUUGGAACAAGUUACUUAACCUCUCUGAGUCUCAGUGUCCUCAUUUUAAAUUGGGGUUUACCCAGUGGGGUUGACUGGAGGGAAAAGGUAUAUAAGACACUUAGAAUCUCUGGAAAAUGGUAGAUAGUAAACUCUCAUUACAAGUGUUGACAAAUGAGUAGUAGAUUACUCUCAGGGUCACAGUGGGGGAAGGAUAUUCCAUUGAACUCAUUCCUUUCCCUCCCAAUGUACAGAGAAAAUGUUGCAGCCUGCUCCAUCAACAGUCUUUUUACCUGAAAAACCCAGCACAAGGGAGAUUUCACUGCUAUUUACCGGAUCUUCGACUUAUUUAUUACUCUUGAUUAAAGUUGCAGUUCCCACAUCGUACAGUUAAUGGAUCCCUUUCCCUGAAAUGACUACUCCUUCCCUUUGUCUUCUUCCUGCCCCUUGGUCCACAACCCACAUAACUCCUUCAAAACUCAGCUCAGACACAUGGGCCUUUUGUUUCCUGUUCUUAAAACAGGCAAGCCUUUGGCCCUCCUCGUCCCACCCCUUGCAUUGUUCUGCCUCCAGAGCUUCAUAGACUGGCUCCUUCUCAUCCUUCAACUGUCACUAUUUCAGAGGGAUCCUUCCUAACCACCUCGUGCAUGUAUCCACCCCAUAGUCAUUUUCAUUACUCUGCAUUAUUUUCUUCAUAGUAUUAUCACUGUCUGAAGAUACUGCAACUUACUAUUUUUCUUACAUAAUGUUUCGUUUUCCUCCACUAAGCUUGACUGGAUCAGAAAUUGUGUUUGUGUACCACAUAGAACCCCUGAGCCUAGGACAGCACCUGGCACACAAUCAUGCUCAAUAAACGUUUCUGAAUGUGAUACAUGAAUGACUAUCGCCUGCUCUGGAAAGUCUUCCUAACCACCAGAAUGGAUUAGUCCUCCCUUGAACCUCCAUUGUCCUUUGGGCAUGCUUCUUGGUGUAGCACUGGAACUAUAUUGUAAUUGUUAAUUGUGCUAUUUAAAAAAUACCUUUCAGGGCUGGCCCUGUUGCCUAGUGGUUAAGUUCAGCACACUCCGCUUUGGCAGCCCAUGUUUGGUUCCCAGGUGAGGACCUAUCCCACUCAUUGGCGGCCAUGCUAUGGCAGUGACCUACAUACAAAGUAGAGGAAGAUUGGCACAGAUGUUAGCUCAGGGUGAAUCUUCCUCAGCAAAAAGAGAAAACCUUUCAUACAAUCCCGUUUACAAUUGUAACAAAAAGAACAAAAUAUCUAGGAACAAAUUUAACCAAGGAGGUGAAAGACCUAUAUAAUGAAAACUAUAAGACAUUAUUGAAAAAAAUCAAUGAUGACCUAAAGAAAUGGAAAGAUAUUCCAUGCACAUGGAUUGGAAGAAUAAAUAUAGUUAAAAUGUCCAUAUUACCUUAAGCAAUCUACAGAUUCAGUGCAAUCCCAGUCAGAAUCCCAAUGACAUUCUUCAUGGAAAUAGAACAAA